rnacentral:rRNA from 1 species
UACGUAGGGCGCAAGCGUUGUCCGGAAUUAUUGGGCGUAAAGAGCUCGUAGGUGGUUUGUCGCGUUGUUCGUGAAAACUCACGGCUUAACUGUGAGCGUGCGGGCGAUACGGGCAGACUAGAGUACUGCAGGGGAGACUGGAAUUCCUGGUGUAGCGGUGGAAUGCGCAGAUAUCAGGAGGAACACCGGUGGCGAAGGCGGGUCUCUGGGCAGUAACUGACGCUGAGGAGCGAAAGCGUGGGGAGCGAACAGG